rnacentral:rRNA from 1 species
GACGAACCGUACGAACGUUAUUCGGAAUCACUGGGCUUAAAGGGUGCGUAGGCUGCGCGGAAAGUUGGGUGUGAAAUCCCGGGGCUCAACCUCGGAACUGCAUCCGAUACUGGCAUGCUAGAGAAUUGGAGAGGAGUCUAGAAUUCACGGUGUAGCAGUGAAAUGCGUAGAGAUCAGGAGGAACACCGGUGGCGAAGGCGGCCUACUGGGCCAUCACUGACGCUGAGGCGCGAAAGCUCGGGGAGCGAACGGG